GGGGGUUACUGUGCCCUGCCUGCAGGGAUGGCAAUGCUAACCUUGCCAGCACCAGCCCAGCCUGGAGCUGAGCUCCUGCCAGCAAAGGCUGAGGGGUCAUUGCAGGACUGACAGCAGACAGAGCAGGAGCAGACAGAAGUGCUGCUGACAGAGGAAGAAAGAGUCUGGAUCCUGCUCACCAUGAGACUUUAAAGUCCAAGAAUAUUCAAAGAUUGUGAUCCAAGUUGGCCUCAGAAGUUUUUCAUUCAAGGCAAAUCAACAUGCAAUGGGACUUGCUUUUCAAGGCUAUUUCUGAUUGGCCUCCUUGCUAAAAAAGUAAGAAGUUCACCAGAAGGGUAAAGACAAAGCAUCCUGGGAAUAUGAAACAAGAAUGAGCUACCAUCAAACUUCACCUCAUUACUGCUUAGAUUUGUUUUCAAAGUGAGAUGGAAUGCAAACUAGCCAUAAUGCAGAUUCUGUCCCAAAACUUUCCACUCCACUCCACUCUUAAGUCACAUUAAACACAGUGAUGGCCAUAAAAGUCCACUGUGAGACUUGUUAAAGCAUGCAUACUUUUGAUCACUCAAGACAAUAAAUAAUCAGAAUAACAAGCA